AAAUAAAGCUUUGAUUGAACUGGUAAGUGAUUAAGCAAUAGAGGAAGAAAGAAAGAAUAGUUUUUCAUGACUGGGAGGCUCUAGGCUAGGUAUAGUGAAUCUACCCUAGAGGUCCAUUAGGGUUUUGAGUAUAUUUUCCCAUUUGACUUAAAAUUAAUUUCUUCCUCUUGUAGAAAUUGGAUAUAUAUUUUUAUAUCUUUACCAAAGGCUUCUUUAGUUAUUGACUUUUUAAUGGUUAAUUUUAACUUUAUGUCAGGUGGAUGAGUAUAGCAUGGUGAA
rnacentral:misc_RNA from 1 species